CAGGCCUAACACAUGCAAGUCGAACGGUAACAGGUCUUCGGAUGCUGACGAGUGGCGAACGGGUGAGUAAUACAUCGGAACGUGCCCGAGAGUGGGGGAUAACGGAGCGAAAGCUUUGCUAAUACCGCAUACGAUCUACGGAUGAAAGCAGGGGACCGCAAGGCCUUGCGCUCAUGGAGCGGCCGAUGGCAGAUUAGGUAGUUGGUGGGAUAAAAGCUUACCAAGCCGACGAUCUGUAGCUGGUCUGAGAGGACGACCAGCCACACUGGGACUGAGACACGGCCCAGACUCCUACGGGAGGCAGCAGUGGGGAAUUUUGGACAAUGGGCGAAAGCCUGAUCCAGCCAUGCCGCGUGCAGGAUGAAGGCCUUCGGGUUGUAAACUGCUUUUGUACGGAACGAAAAGACUNCUAGUUAAUACCUGGGGUCCAUGACGGUACCGUAAGAAUAAGCACCGGCU
rnacentral:rRNA from 1 species